rnacentral:rRNA from 1 species
GGAUGAACGCUAGCGGCAGGCCUAACACAUGCAAGUCGAGGGGUAGAGCUACUUUAGUAGUUUGAGACCGGCGCACGGGUGCGUAACGCGUAUGCAAUCUACCUUAUACAGAGGGAUAGCCCAGAGAAAUUUGGAUUAAUACCUCAUAGUAUAUUUGAGUGGCAUCAUUUAGAUAUUAAAGAUUUAUCGGUAUAAGAUGAGCAUGCGUCCCAUUAGUUAGUUGGUGUGGUAACGGCAUACCAAGACGAUGAUGGGUAGGGGUCCUGAGAGGGAGAUCCCCCACACUGGUACUGAGACACGGACCAGACUCCUACGGGAGGCAGCAGUGAGGAAUAUUGGUCAAUGGAGGCAACUCUGAACCAGCCAUGCCGCGUGCAGGAAGAAUGUCCUAUGGAUUGUAAACUGCUUUUGUACGGGAAGAAAACGUGCUAUGUAUAGCAAACUGACGGUACCGUAAGAAUAAGGAUCGGCUAACUCCGU